rnacentral:rRNA from 1 species
AGAUUGAACGCUGGCGGCAGGCCUAACACAUGCAAGUCGAGCGGUAGAGAGGUGCUUGCACCUCUUGAGAGCGGCGGACGGGUGAGUAAUGCCUAGGAAUCUGCCUAGUGGUGGGGGAUAACGUUCGGAAACGGACGCUAAUACCGCAUACGUCCUACGGGAGAAAGGCGGGGGACCUUCGGGCCUCGCGCCAUUAGAUGAGCCUAGGUCGGAUUAGCUAGUUGGUGAGGUAAUGGCUCACCAAGGCGACGAUCCGUAACUGGUCUGAGAGGAUGAUCAGUCACACGUGGAACUGAGACACGGUCCAGACUCCGUACGGGAGCAGCGAGUAGGGAAUAGUGGACAAGUGGGACGAAAGCCGUAGAUCCGAGCCAUCGCCG